CUAAUUAUAAUGACAAUAAAGAUAUUCUAUUCUAAUCAACACGGCCACUCCCAUUAGGACAUUAACGUGUAAUGUGUAGGCCCUUUAAAUGAUGUAUACGGCGCCACCUGGCCCCGCCCAGCGUAAUGUAUAUAGGUGUUUGCGGAAGUGGGCGGAGGAGAGACGGUGAUCAGGAAGCGUUCGAAUGUGUGGCGCCAAGGGAGGCCGUGGGCUGCAGGCUGCAGGCUGCUGGGACCUCAUCUGUUCGGGUCUGUAGCGGUAUACGAUCACUAGACUUAAUGCAGAUUGACAGAGGAACGCUUCCGGGACCCAAAGGAACUCUGAGGUCGGCCAUCACAAGGAUGCGUUGCCACCGAAGAGGACGCACAAGGUGGGAGUCGAUACCUUGUUAGCAGAAGUCUGGACGCAUGCGCACUUGAUCCGCUAGUGUAGCGGGUAGUGACUCCGUCUUCAACUCCGAGGAUUGGGGUUCAAAUCCCGGACGCGCCGCCGCUUGAUAGUCUGGCGUGGGAUCAGGUGUGCAGGUGUCAGGCAAGCUGCUAAUCAUCUUCAAUCUUCCUUGCUUUAAAUACCAAACUUCAACUCCACCACGCCACCAGACCGUAGGCUCGGCUACACAGAGACCUGGUGCCCUGAGCACACACUCAGCCUUCAGAGCUGUCAUCAGCAUGUCCUUUCCACGGUAAAUAAGGAGAAGAAAUAAGCCAACGUUGUGAAGAGGUCCCCAGCGGACACAGUGCCUCACGGCUGAUGCAAACAACUCUCAUUUUCUGCUUCUCCAAAUUGGUCCUGAUGUUCAAAGCUGAGGUAAGAGUGCGAUUCUCAUUAUGGAGAAUGGAGAUCACCCAAUUUCAAUUUCCAUGUGAUCAAUCAGAGUGCUAUCAGUUCAUCAGCGUGGCUCAGCCUUGGCUAAAAAUAUCCCCCCCUUUUUUCCUGAUGGAAAGAGAGAGAUGGAAAAAAUGUCAGGUACCUUUGACGUGUGCAUGCUGACAU